rnacentral:rRNA from 1 species
UUGCAGCUUGCAGCAGAUGGUUGCCUUGACUGGGACGCGCUUGCACAUGCCGUCAGACCGGAGACCGGGUGCACGCUCAUACAGAGGUCCUAUGGUUACUCGUGGCGCAAGAGCCUGAGCAUAGAUGAUAUCUGUAGAGCCAUCGAUUUGAUCAAGAUGCAAAAUAAAAACUGCAAGGUCAUGGUUGACAACUGCUACGGUGAAUUUGUUGAGACAUCAGAGCCUCCAAUGGUGGGAUCAGAUCUUAUUGCCGGUAGCUUGAUAAAGAACCCCGGUGGUACCAUCAUGCCUUGUGGUGGCCACGUUGCUGGGAAGAAAGAUUUGGUUGCCGCAGCUGCAGCUCGCCUAUCCGCACCGGGCCUUGGGGUGGAGUUUGGGUCCGUACCUAGACAUGUUAUGCGAGCAAUGUUUCAGGGCUUGUUUCUUGCUCCCCAAAUGGUUGGAGAGGUAGUAAAAGGUGGUUUGCUAAUUGCAGAAGUCAUGUCAGCCAAGGGCUAUAGAGUUCAACCACUUCCAAGGGAGCCACGCCAUGAUAUUGUGCAGGCAGUAGAGCUUGGCAACAGGGAGAGACUCAUAGCAUUCUGUGAAGCCGUUCAACAAACUUGCCCAGUAGGAUCAUUUAUUAAGCCAACCGCUGGGGAAACUCCUGGUUAUGCUUCAGAGGUCAAUUUUGCUGAUGGGACACUCAUGGAUGGAAGCACAAGUGAGCUAUCAUGUGACAGGCCCUUAAGAGAUCCAUACGCUGUCUUCUGUUAGAGAGGAGCGCAUUGGACACAGUGGGCUCUUGUCCUGGGCGAAGUUCUGAAUGUCAUGUAG